GACGAACGCUGGCGGCGUGCUUAACACAUGCCAGUCGAACGGAAAGGCCCUGCUUUUGUGGGGUGCUCGAGUGGCGAACGGGUGAGUAACACGUGAGUAACCUGCCCUUGACUUUGGGAUAACUUCAGGAAACUGGGGCUAAUACCGGAUAGGAGCUCCUGCUGCAUGGUGGGGGUUGGAAAGUUUCGGCGGUUGGGGAUGGACUCGCGGCUUAUCAGCUUGUUGGUGGGGUAGUGGCUUACCAAGGCUUUGACGGGUAGCCGGCCUGAGAGGGUGACCGGCCACAUUGGGACUGAGAUACGGCCCAGACUCCUACGGGAGGCAGCAGUGGGGAAUAUUGCACAAUGGGCGGAAGCCUGAUGCAGCAACGCCGCGUGCGGGAUGACGGCCUUCGGGUUGUAAACCGCUUUCGCCUAUGACGAAGCGUUGGGGGCGGUUAUGGGGUAAAGAAGAACCGGUUACUUACUG
rnacentral:rRNA from 1 species